rnacentral:lncRNA from 1 species
UUUUUUUUUUUUUUUAAUUAGCAGCACAAGGAUUGCUUGGGCCCAGGAGUUUGAGGCUGUAGUAAGCUAUGAUCAUGUCACUGCACUCCAGCCUGGGUAAAAGAGUGAGACCCUGUCUCUAAAAACAAACAACAACAAAAACAAAUAGAAAAAAAAGAAGGCUCUUACAAAAAACAUUGGCUUUCCUUCUGCUAACCUGCAGUUUGGGAGAGAGCCUGGAUAAAGAUUCAGGACAUGUGGCAACUGGGACCACCUCUGCCCUUAACUGCUUAGCUGGUCAUUCAUUCAACAAAUAAAUACUGAGAACCUACUAUGUGUCAGGCAUUGUUCAAGACACUGCUAAGGAUAUAGUGGUGAACGAAAGAGACCAAAUCUUCUCCAUUUCUGUUCUUUCUUGGAGACAGGAGGCCUUCAUCAGCUCUCAUGGCUUUUUCAGAGCUAUCAUUCCACAAUUAUAUGAAUGAGGGAAAAACAAUUUUCUCUCUCUCAUUCAAGGCAAAGGGGUAUUCAAGGUGCCUCAGGAGAUGAAGCAAGUGGUGGCAUUUUCUUGGAAAUAGUUUAGAAUCUGGAUGGAUGGAGAGAGAAAGAGAUUACAUAAUUAAAAGCCCACAAAUGUUAGUUCGUUGCUGGCACACAGUGAAUGCAGUGAACACUUACUAAAUAUCUGUUUGGUGGAUGAAUCAUGUGGGAAAAAGAAGGGGACUUAAUGGGUGGCUGCAGGGAGAAUUUCCUCACUUUGACUCGAGGCCCUCACGUGUGCCUCUUUCCCUCUCUCCUUGGGAGUACUACUCCCAAGUACUCCUGUCUUGGGAGUACUACUCCUUCUGUAACUCCCCCAUCUCCUCAGGCAUUUGGACCCAAGUGUUCCAGGCCUGAGAGUCCAGAAUUUCCACUCUCUGUGAUACAAAGAAGAGGCCCUGGCUCAUUAUUGACUAUAACCCUAGGGGUUUUCCUCUUAUGAGGGAAACUCUCCCUCUCUUAAUAUGCCGGGUCUUCCUAAGAGGAAAGAAUGUCUGCUUCCUAGGCACCUAAUAUAAACAUCCUUAAUGGAUUUAAGCCUGGGGUCACAAGUUCAAGGGCACACAGAAAAAGGCCAGGCAGGUAAUGUCAACUGUGACAGACAAUAAGGAAUGCUGGGGACUGUGGUGACCUGGAGAACUGAGCCUCAUGUGAACAGAAUCAUACUUUUAAAAAGUACUGUGUGGGCCAAAACAGUGGCACUCAUGUGUGGGUGUUCGAAGAUCAGUGAACUAUCAGUUUAUGGCAUCUAUUAUUAGAAACAAGCCAGAAAAACUUGUCAACUUUUCAUUCUUCUCUUUGCGGCAUGUCUCCCUGAGAUCACAUGGCUGCCUGAAUGGAGAGAAAGAAGAGGAGGACAUGCCCAUCGGAGAAUGUAGGUUAAUAUCUUAAAUAGUAUUCUACCAUACCCACCUUUGGCUUGGAUAGAAUGUUUUCUUGAGCUAAACUCCAUAAAAUUCCUAUAGAGGCACAAUUACUGAUUCAAACAAAAGCCGCCUUUGACUAUUGAGAGAGGAGUGUCUGGGUCAGAAGGAUCAAUUUUCUGAUGAAUCAGUGAGCAAUUCUGAGUGGAACUAAUCAGGUUUGUGUUGUGUCACCCUUUAUUUAUAACCCACGGUUCAGUGAUCUGAAAUC